UACGUAGGGUGCGAGCGUUAUCCGGAUUUACUGGGUUUAAAGGGAGCGUAGGUGGGUCGGUAAGUCAGUGGUGAAAUCUUCGAGCUUAACUCGGAAACUGCCAUUGAUACUAUCGAUCUUGAAUUAUCUGGAGGUAAGCGGAAUAUGUCAUGUAGCGGUGAAAUGCUUAGAUAUGACAUAGAACACCCAUUGCGAAGGCAGCUUACUACGGAUAUAUUGACACUGAGGCUCGAAAGCGUGGGGAUCAAACAGG
rnacentral:rRNA from 1 species